rnacentral:rRNA from 1 species
CCUACGGGGGGCUGCAGUGAGGAAUAUUGGUCAAUGGGCGGGAGCCUGAACCAGCCAAGCCGCGUGAGGGAAGAAGGUACAGCGUAUCGUAAACCUCUUUUGUCAGGGAACAAAGGCGGGGACUAGUCCCCGGAUGAGGGUACCUGAAGAAAAAGCAUCGGCUAAAUCCGUGCCAGCAGCCGCGGUAAUACGGAGGAUGCGAGCGUUAUCCGGAUUUAUUGGGUUUAACGGGUGCGUAGGCGGAUUUUUAAGUCAGCGGUAAAAUGUCCGGGCUCAACCCGGGCCGGCCGUUGAAACUGGGGAUCUUGAGUGGGCGAGAGGUAUGCGGAAUGCGUGGUGUAGCGGUGAAAUGCAUAGAUAUCACGCAGAACUCCGAUUGCGAAGGCAGCAUACCGGCGCCCGACUGACGCUGAGGCACGAAAGCGUGGGGAUCGAACAGGAUUAGAUACCCUUGUAGUC